rnacentral:rRNA from 1 species
UACGUAGGGGGCGAGCGUUGUCCGGAGUUACUGGGCGUAAAGCGCACGCAGGCGGUCUGCUAAGUUUGGAGUGACAGUUGGUGGCUCAACCACCAAAGUGCUUUGAAAACUGACAGACUUGAGGGCUUCAGAGGGACACGGAAUUCCGGGUGGAGUGGUGAAAUGCGUAGAGAUCCGGAGGAACACCGAAGGCGAAGGCAGUGUCCUGGGGAGUACCUGACG